GACGAACGCUGGCGGCGUGCUUAACACAUGCAAGUCGAACGGCAGCACGGGUGCUUGCACCUGGUGGCGAGUGGCGAACGGGUGAGUAAUAUAUCGGAACGUACCUUAUUGUGGGGGAUAACGCAGCGAAAGCUGUGCUAAUACCGCAUAAUCCCUAAGGGGGAAAGCGGGGGACCGUAAGGCCUCGCGCAAUUAGAGCGGCCGAUACCUGAUUAGCUAGUUGGUGAGGUAAAGGCUCACCAAGGCAACGAUCAGUAGCUGGUCUGAGAGGACGAUCAGCCACACUGGGACUGAGACACGGACCAGACUCCUACGGGAGGCAGCAGUGGGGAAUUUUGGACAAUGGGGGCAACCCUGAUCCAGCAAUGCCGCGUGAGUGAAGAAGGCCUUCGGGUUGUAAAGCUCUUUCGUCAGGGAAGAAACAGCAGCUCUAACACAGUAUGCGAAUGACGGUACCUGAAGAAUAAGCACCGGCUAACUACGUGCCAGCCGCCGCAGUAA
rnacentral:rRNA from 1 species